CCUACGGGAGGCAGCAGUGAGGAAUAUUGGUCAAUGGGCGCGAGCCUGAACCAGCCAAGUCGCGUGAGGUCCGCCUGUCCUAUGGCUUUUCCCCCUCUUUUGUCGUGGCGCCCCCGCCGCCCCGCGUGGCGUUCCGAGAGUACCCGAAGAAAACGCAUCGGCUAACUCCGUGCCAGCCGCCGCGGUAAUACGGCGGAUGCGCGCGUUCUCCGGCUUUCUUGGGUUUACAGGGUGCGCCGGCGGCAGCUCACGUCCGCGGUCCCAUUGAGAGGCUCAACCUCUUCGAGCCGUUGAACAUGGGUUUCUUGAGUGAGUGAGAAGGAUGCGGAAUGCGGGGUGUAGCGGUGAAAUGCAUAUAUAUCACGCAGAACUCCGAUUGCGAAGGUAGCAUACCGGCGCUCAACUGACGCUCAUGCACGAAAGUGUGGGUAUCGAACAGGAUUAGAUACCCCAGUAGUC
rnacentral:rRNA from 1 species